CGGGUCGUAAAACUCUGUUGUUGGAGAAGAAUGGUCGGCAGAGUAACUGUUGUCGGCGUGACGGUAUCCAACCAGAAAGCCCACGGCUAACUACGUGCCAGCAGCCGCGGUAAUACGUAGGUGGCAAGCGUUAUCCGGAUUUAUUGGGCGUAAAGCGAGCGCAGGCGGUUUUUUAAGUCUGAUGUGAAAGCCCUCGGCUUAACCGAGGAAGCGCAUCGGAAACUGGGAAACUUGAGUGCAGAAGAGGACAGUGGAACUCCAUGUGUAGCGGUGAAAUGCGUAGAUAUAUGGAAGAACACCAGUGGCGAAGGCGGCUGUCUGGUCUGUAACUGACGCUGAGGCUCGAAAGCAUGGGUAGCGAACAGGAUUAGAUACCCUGGUAGUCCAUGCCGUAAACGAUGAAUGCUAGGUGUUGGAGGGUUUCCGCCCUUUCAGUGCCGCAGCUAACGCAUUAAGCAUUCCGCCUGGGGAGAC
rnacentral:rRNA from 2 species